GCUCAGUGAGGCGUUCGGACUGGCCCAGGGAGGUCGGCAACGACCACCCAGGGCCGGAAAGUUCGUCAAACUUGGUCAUUUAGAGGAAGUAAAAGUCGUAACAAGGUCUCCGUAGGUGAACCUGCGGAGGGAUCAUU
rnacentral:rRNA from 1 species